AUAUUCUGUAGCAAGGUUAACCGUAUAGGGGAGCCGUAGGGAAACCGAGUCUUAACCGGGCGUUAAGUUGCAGGGUAUAGACCCGAAACCCGGUGAUCUAGCCAUGGGCAGGUUGAAGGUUGGGUAACACUAACUGGAGGACCGAACCGACUAAUGUUGAAAAAUUAGCGGAUGACCUGUGGCUGGGGGUGAAAGGCCAAUCAAACCGGGAGAUAGCUGGUUCUCCCCGAAAGCUAUUUAGGUAGCGCCUCGUGAAUUCAUCUCCGGGGGUAGAGCACUGUUUCGGCUAGGGGGCCAUCCCGGCUUACCAACCCGAUGCAAACUGCGAAUACCGGAGAAUGUUAUCACGGGAGACACACGGCGGGUGCUAACGUCCGUCGUGAAGAGGGAAACAACCCAGACCGCCAGCUAAGGUCCCAAAGUCAUGGUUAAGUGGGAAACGAUGUGGGAAGGCCCAGACAGCCAGGAUGUUGGCUUAGAAGCAGCCAUCAUUUAAAGAAAGCGUAAUAGCUCACUGGUCGAGUCGGCCUGCGCGGAAGAUGUAACGGGGCUAAACCAUGCACCGAAGCUGCGGCAGCGAACGUAUCACCCAAGACAACUUUACGGAGUUGACGAUUGACGGAGCGAAGCGACGUCAAAGCGUUCAUUAAAGUCGAGUUGGCUUAGGGAUACGUUCGUUGGGUAGGGGAGCGUUCUGUAAGCCUGUGAAGGUGUGUCGUGAGGCAUGCUGGAGGUAUCAGAAGUGCGAAUGCUGACAUAAGUAACGAUAAAGCGGGUGAAAAGCCCGCUCGCCGGAAGACCAAGGGUUCCUGUCCAACGUUAAUCGGGGCAGGGUGAGUCGACCCCUAAGGCGAGGCCGAAAGGCGUAGUCGAUGGGAAACGGGUUAAUAUUCCCGUACUUGGUGUUACUGCGAAGGGGGGACGGAGAAGGCUAUGUUGGCCGGGCGACGGUUGUCCCGGUUUAAGCGUGUAGGUGUGUGUUCCAGGUAAAUCCGGUUCACUUUAACACUGAGGCGUGACGACGAGGCACUACGGUGCUGAAGCAACAAAUGCCCUGCUUCCAGGAAAAGCCUCUAAGCAUCAGGUAAC
rnacentral:rRNA from 1 species